AGGGCACCACCAGGAGUGGAGCCUGCGGCUUAAUUUGACUCAACACGGGAAAUCUCACCAGGCCCGGACACCGGAAGGAUUGACAGAUUGAGAGCUCUUUCUUGAUUCGGUGGGUGGUGGUGCAUGGCCGUUCUUAGUUGGUGGAGCGAUUUGUCUGGUUAAUUCCGAUAACGAACGAGACUCUGGCCUAUUAACUAGACGUUAGAUCCUUUAUGGGUUUGACGAUGCUUCUUAGAGGGACGGGCGGCUUUUAGCCGCACGAGAAUGAGCAAUAACAGGUCUGUGAUGCCCUUAGAUGUUCUGGGCUGCACGCGCGCUACACUGAAGAAAUCAGCGUGUGUUCCCUAUCCGAAAGGAUUGGGAAACCCGUUGAACCUUCUUCGUGAUGGGGAUUGGGGAUUGCAAUUAUUCCCCAUGAACGAGGAAUUCCCAGUAGGCGCGAGCCAUAAGCUUGCGUCGAUUACGUCCCUGCCCUUUGUACCCACCGCCCGUCGCUACUACCGAUCGAGUGAUUUAGUG
rnacentral:rRNA from 1 species